UACGUAGGGGGGCAAGCGUUGUCCGGAUUUAUUGGGCGUAAAGAGCGUGUAGGCGGCCAGGUAGGUGGGUUGUGAAAACUGGAGGCUCAACCUUCAGACGUCGACCCAAACCCCCCUGGCUAGAGUCCGGAAGAGGAGAGUGGAAUUCCUGGUGUAGCGGUGGAAUUCGUAGAUAUUAGGAAGAACACCAGUGGCGAAGGCGGCUCACUGGUCCGGUACUGACGCUGAGGUGCGAAAGCGUGGGGAGCAAACAGGG
rnacentral:rRNA from 1 species